GCAAGUCUUCUCGCUUCGGCGGGGGGCGGACGGGAGCGUAAUACGUAGGAACCUGCCUCAAACUCAGGGAUAACUCCGGGAAACCGGAACUAAAACCUGAUGUGCCCGCGAGGGUAAAACUAUAUGUGGUUUGAGAGGGGCCUGCGGCCUAUCAGCUUGUUGGUGAGGUAAUGGCUCACCAAGGCUAUGACGGGUAGCUGGUCUGAGAGGACGACCAGCCUCACUGGGACUGAGACACGGCCCAGACUCC
rnacentral:rRNA from 1 species